rnacentral:pre_miRNA from 1 species
AGGGGGAGCGCUGGAUCCUGGGCUGCGUCCCUCAGCGCCCUGGGCUCCGGGGCCUGUACCGCUGGAAUCGUGCUCUCAGGGCCGCGCAGCCCCCU